GAAUGUCAAAUUUCUAGUAUGAGAAAUUAAUGAUUUAAGUCCUUCUUAAAUGAGGCCAUUUACCCAUAGAGGGUGCCAGGCCCGUAUAACGUUAAUGAUUACUAGAUGACAUUUCCAAAGAGUCGUGUUGCUUGAUAGUGCAGCACUAAGUGGGUGGUAAACUCCAUCUAAAACUAAAUAUAACCAUGAGACCGAUAGUAAACAAGUACCGUGAGGGAAAGUUGAAAAGAACUCUGAAUAGAGAGUUAAAUAGUACGUGAAACUGCUUAGAGGUUAAGCCCGAUGAACCUGAAUAUCCGUUAUAGAAAAUUCAUCAUUAUGAUUUUAAUAUUUAAUACAUAUUAUAAUAAUGGUGUGCAUUUUUUCUAUAAAGGACAUUGUAAUCUAUUAAUAUUGUAAUAUUUAUCAUAAGAUCAAUAUGCGUAAGUUUAUUCAAAUUAUUUUGCUUGCAAUUUAAUAUAGAAUAAAUGCUUUUGAUUUGAUAAAGUAUUGAUAGAUUUAUUAUAUAUAGUGCUUAAAUAUAUUUUUAUAUUUUAUAAUGGCAUAUUAAUCAUUGAUUUUUAUGUUUAUUAUAUGCACUUAUAUGAUUAACAAUGCGAAAGAUUCAGGAUACCUUCGGGACCCGUCUUGAAACACGGACCAAGGAGUCUAACAUAUUUGCAAGUUAUUGGGAAUUAAAAACCUAAUAGCGAAAUUAACAUAACUUUAAUGGGAUUAGUUUUUAGUCUAUUUUUAAUAGUUCUAUUAAUACAAUCCCGGGGCGUUCUAUACAGUUAUGUAUAAUAGUAUUUAUAUUAUUUAUACCUCUAACUAGAGCGUACCUUGAGCAUAUAUGCUGUGACCCGAAAGAUGGUGAACUAUACUUGAUCAGGUUGAAGUCAGGGGAAACCCUGAUGGAAGACCGAAACAGUUCUGACGUGCAAAUCGAUUGUCAGAAUUGAGUAUAGGGGCGAAAGACCAAUCGAACCAUCUAGUAGCUGGUUCCCUCCGAAGUUUCCCUCAGGAUAGCUGGUGCAUUUAAAAUUUAUGUAAAAUAAUCUUAUCUGGUAAAGCGAAUGAUUAGAGGCCUUAGGGUCGAAACGACCUUAACCUAUUCUCAAACUUUAAAUGGGUAAGAACCUCACCUUUCUUGGUAUGAAGGUUGUGGUUGUGAUAUAAUGUGCCCAGUGGGCCACUUUUGGUAAGCAGAACUGGCGCUGUGGGAUGAACCAAACGUAAUGUUACGGUGCCCAAAUUAACAACUCAUGCAGAUACCAUGAAA
rnacentral:rRNA from 1 species